rnacentral:rRNA from 1 species
AUACGUAGGUGGCAAGCGUUGUCCGGAUUUACUGGGUGUAAAGGGUGCGUAGGCGGGCAGGCAAGUCAGAUGUGAAAUCUCCGGGCUCAACCCGGAAAUUGCAUUUGAAACUGCAGGUCUUGAGUAUCGGAGAGGCAAGCGGAAUUCCUAGUGUAGCGGUGAAAUGCGUAGAUAUUCGGUGGAACACCAGUGGAGAAGGCGGCUUCCUCGACGCCAACUGAGUCUGAGGCGCGACAGCGUGGGGAACAAACAGGAUGAGAUACCCUGGUUGUCCACGCCCUAAACGAUGAAUUCUAGGUGUGGUGGGACUGGCCCCCUCCGUGCCGGAGUAAACACAAUAAGUAUUCCACCUCGGGAGUCCGACCUCAAGGUGGAAACUCAAAUGAAUUGACGGGG